GUGCCGUCGAAAGGAUCGGGUGUGACUGUCGCCCCUAGCGUGUGUACUUGGUGUGUGCCCGGCGGGGGGUUGCGUGGCGUGUGUAUCCUGUUGCAGUCAUCGAGGGGUGGAGGCGGCCUCGUCACUAGGAUAAGGGUGAGUACUUUGCAUGCCUCGCCGUGGGACACCUUCGCGGGACCUCAGCAGCAACACUUCCGCACAGUGUUAAGGUAAAUACGAAAUUGUUUCUCGUUUGAUUAAGCGCUAGGCUCAGGUAGGACUAGGAUGCUAACAUCUGCUUGCCUUUCAGGUACACUAAUUUUGCAGGCUUUGAUCUUGCAGAUGUGUGUGUCACUAGGUUUCUGUUGGUGCUGUGAUAAAAGGAGCUUCUUCAAAGGGAUAGUCAAUGCUGCCAGCGCCAUCAGUGUUAUUCAAGUGGUGUGGCAGCAGCCUUCUAUCAAAAAGCCGCGAAGGUGUCCAGACACGUCGAGUGUGGAACUUAUGUGUGGCGGCUCUUCCGUACCUGGCCGCCUCUGUCCCCCUUCACCAGAACUCUCAAG